AAAUUGAAGAGUUUGAUCAUGGCUCAGAUUGAACGCUGGCGGCAGGCCUAACACAUGCAAGUCGAACGGUAGCACAGAGAGCUUGCUCUCGGGUGACGAGUGGCGGACGGGUGAGUAAUGUCUGGGAAACUGCCUGAUGGAGGGGGAUAACUACUGGAAACGGUGGCUAAUACCGCAUAACGUCGCAAGACCAAAGAGGGGGACCUUCGGGCCUCUUGCCAUCAGAUGUGCCCAGAUGGGAUUAGCUUGUUGGUGAGGUAACGGCUUACCA
rnacentral:rRNA from 1 species